CAGUCGCCGCGGGAAUACGAAGGGGCCUAGCGUUGUUCGGAUUUACUGGGCGUAAAGCGCACGUAGGCGGAUCCUUAAGUCAGAGGUGAAAUCCCAAGGCUCAACCUUGGAACUGCCUUUGAUACUGGGGAUCUCGAGUCCGGGAGAGGUGAGUGGAACUGCGAGUGUAGAGGUGAAAUUCGUAGAUAUUCGCAAGAACACCAGAGGCGAAGGCGGCCCACUGGCCCGGUACUGACGCUGAGGUGCGAAAGCGUGGGGAGCAAACAGGAUUAGAUACCCCAGUAGUCCCUGUCUCUUAUAC
rnacentral:rRNA from 1 species